rnacentral:rRNA from 1 species
AUGAACGCUGGCGGCGUGCCUCAUACAUGCCAGUCGCGCGAACAGACGAGGAGCUUGCUCCUCUGACGUUAGCGGCGGACGGGUAAGUAACACGUGGAUAACCUACCUAUAAGACUGGGAUAACUUCGGGAAACCGGAGCUAAUACCGGAUAAUAUAUUGAACCGCAUGGUUCAAUAGUGAAAGACGGUUUUGCUGUCACUUAUAGAUGGAUCCGCGCCGCAUUAGCUAGUUGGUAAGGUAACGGCUUACCAAGGCAACGAUGCGUAGCCGACCUGAGAGGGUGAUCGGCCACACUGGAACUGAGACACGGUCCAGACUCCUACGGGAGGCAGCAGUAGGGAAUCUUCCGCAAUGGGCGAAAGCCUGACGGAGCAACGCCGCGUGAGUGAUGAAGGUCUUCGGAUCGUAAAACUCUGUUAUUAGGGAAGAACAAAUGUGUAAGUAACUAUGCACGUCUUGACGGUACCUAAUCAGAAAGCCACAGCUAACUACGUG